AUUCAUCCAAAGCUGGAACAGCCCUGGAAUCUCAGAGAAUCAGGAUCUUCUGUCUCCAGAGAAGAGGGGAGCUCUGGCCCCCUUGUAGGGAAGCAGCUUCUGGACUCUCCUGUCUCCCUGCAGCCAACAACCUUCUUCCCAGCAACCCCCGACAUACACCCCUGCCACCCUCAGUGGUUCCCGACAUUGAUGCUGGUGAGGGAAGUGCCAGUUCCUCAGCACAGCCCUGCAGCAUUUCCUGGCAGCUCUGCCAGCCUCCUUACCUCACACUGCUAUGAGAGCCACACCAUUUCUCAUCGAUACUGCUUUCUACCCACCCACUCAACUCAGCAGUGAGCUCUCUCUUCCAGGAAAAACCAUC
rnacentral:lncRNA from 1 species